rnacentral:rRNA from 1 species
AUUGAACGCUGGCGGCAGGCCUAACACAUGCAAGUCGAACGGUAACAGGAAACAGCUUGCUGUUUCGCUGACGAGUGGCGGACGGGUGAGUAAUGUCUGGGAAACUGCCUGAUGGAGGGGGAUAACUACUGGAAACGGUAGCUAAUACCGCAUAACGUCGCAAGACCAAAGAGGGGGACCUUCGGGCCUCUUGCCAUCGGAUGUGCCCAGAUGGGAUUAGCUAGUAGGUGGGGUAACGGCUCACCUAGGCGACGAUCCCUAGCUGGUCUGAGAGGAUGACCAGCCCCACUGGACCUGAGACACGGUCCAGACUCCUACGGGAGGCAGAAGUGGGGAAGAUUGCACAAUGGGCGCAAGCCUGAUGCAGCCAUGCCGCGUGUAUGAAGAAGGCCUUCGGGUUGUAAGUACUUUCAGCGGGGAGGAAGGGAGUAAAGUUAAUACCUUUGCUCAUUGAUGUUACCCGCAGAAGAAGCACCGGCUAACUCUGUGCCAGCCGCCGCCGUAA